GCCCUCCCCGCCCGCAGCCCCGCCGGCAGCGCCGCCUCCCCGCGGCCGCCGCUCGCCGCCCGCGGCCCCGCGCCGCGCCCCCGCCACACGGGGCGCCGCCGCCGCCGCCCGCGCGCUGACGGGCGCUUCGCAGGUGCCGCGCUCGCCCCGAGUCGCGGAGGGGCAGCCCCGCUGCCCUCCCGGCUCCGCACCGGCGGGAGGGAGGGAAGAGCGGCGGGGGAGCAGCCGGCAGCGCCGUUUUCUCAAGUUCUGGAAGUAGCAGGGCAUUUGUUUGGUAACUGACCUUGAACUUGUGUUCUACCUUGGAAAGAUCUGCAGUAGGAAACAUUCAUCUUCACAUACUCCAGAGUUCUCUGCAUCAGGAGAAAAGGACUUCACAUGCAAGGGUGGUUAAAGAUGGUGAUGUAACAUUGAUAACACUGACGAUCUCCCAAGAAUAACUGACUUUGUAAGAGGCUUCUUCUCUGCUUCCUUUUUUUUUUUUUUUUUUAAUAUAACUUAAUC
rnacentral:lncRNA from 1 species